CGGGACACGUGGUAUCCUGUCUGAAUAUGGGGGGACCAUCCUCCAAGGCUAAAUACUCCUGACUGACCGAUAGUGAACCAGUACCGUGAGGGAAAGGCGAAAAGAACCCCGGCGAGGGGAGUGAAAAAGAACCUGAAACCGUGUACGUACAAGCAGUGGGAGCACAGGUUUACCUGUGUGACUGCGUACCUUUUGUAUAAUGGGUCAGCGACUUAUAUUCUGUAGCAAGGUUAACCGUAUAGGGGAGCCGAAGGGAAACCGAGUCUUAACCGGGCGUUAAGUUGCAGGGUAUAGACCCGAAACCCGGUGAUCUAGCCAUGGGCAGGUUGAAGGUUGGGUAACACUAACUGGAGGACCGAACCGACUAAUGUUGAAAAAUUAGCGGAUGACCUGUGGCUGGGGGUGAAAGGCCAAUCAAACCGGGAGAUAGCUGGUUCUCCCCGAAAGCUAUUUAGGUAGCGCCUCGUGAAUUCAUCUCCGGGGGUAGAGCACUGUUUCGGCUAGGGGGCCAUCCCGGCUUACCAACCCGAUGCAAACUGCGAAUACCGGAGAAUGUUAUCACGGGAGACACACGGCGGGUGCUAACGUCCGUCGUGAAGAGGGAAACAACCCAGACCGCCAGCUAAGGUCCCAAAGUCAUGGUUAAGUGGGAAACGAUGUGGGAAGGCCCAGACAGCCAGGAUGUUGGCUUAGAAGCAGCCAUCAUUUAAAGAAAGCGUAAUAGCUCACUGGUCGAGUCGGCCUGCGCGGAAGAUGUAACGGGGCUAAACCAU
rnacentral:rRNA from 1 species